rnacentral:rRNA from 1 species
AUCNGNAGGCUCAACNUCCGGCCUGCAGUGGGUACGGGNCNNGACUAGAGUGCGGUAGGGGAGAUUGGAANUNNUGGUGUAGCGGUGGAAUGCGCAGAUAUCAGGAGGAACNCNGAUGGCGAAGGCAGAUCUCUGGGCCGUAACUGACGCUGAGGAGCGAAAGGGUGGGGAGCAAACAGGCUUAGAUACCCUGGUAGUCCACCCCGUAAACGUUGGGAANCUAGUUGUGGGGUCCAUUCCACGGAUUCCGUGACGCAGCUAACGCAUUAAGUUCCCCGCCUGGGGAGUACGGCCGCAAGGCUAAAACUCAAAGGAAUUGACGGGGACCCGCACAAGCGGCGGAGCAUGCGGAUUAAUUCGAUGCAACGCGAAGAACCUUACCAAGGCUUGACAUAUACGAGAACGGGCCAGAAAUGGUCAACUCUUUGGACACUCGUAAACAGGUGGUGCAUGGUUGUCGUCAGCUCGUGUCGUGAGAUGUUGGGUUAAGUCCCGCAACGAGCGCAACCCUCGUUCUAUGUUGCCAGCACGUAAUGGUGGGAACUCAUGGGAUACUGCCGGGGUCAACUCGGAGGAAGGUGGGGAUGACGUCAAAUCAUCAUGCCCCUUAUGUCUUGGGCUUCACGCAUGCUACAAUGGCCGGUACAAAGGGCUGCAAUACCGCGAGGUGGAGCGAAUCCCAAAAAGCCGGUCCCAGUUCGGAUUGAGGUCUGCAACUCGACCUCAUGAAGUCGGAGUCGCUAGUAAUCGCAGAUCAGCAACNNNNNGGNGAAUACGUUCCCGGGUCUUGUACACACCG